UACGUAGGGUGCAAGCGUUAAUCGGAAUUACUGGGCGUAAAGCGUGCGCAGCGGCUAUGCAAGACAGAUGUGAAAUCCCCGGGCUCAACCUGGGAACUGCAUUUGUGACUGCAUGGCUAGAGUACGGUAGAGGGGGAUGGAAUUCCGCGUGUAGCAGUGAAAUGCGUAGAUAUGCGGAGGAACACCGAUGGCGAAGGCAAUCCCCUGGACCUGUACUGACGCUCAUGCACGAAAGCGUGGGGAGCAAACAGG
rnacentral:rRNA from 1 species